GGUAACGGCCCACCAAGCCUUCGAUGGAUAGGGGUUCUGAGAGGAAGGUCCCCCACAUUGGAACUGAGACACGGUCCAAACUCCUACGGGAGGCAGCAGUGAGGAAUAUUGGUCAAUGGGCGCUAGCCUGAACCAGCCAAGUAGCGUGAAGGAUGAAGGCUCUAUGGGUCGUAAACUUCUUUUAUAUAAGAAUAAAGUGCAGUAUGUAUACUGUUUUGUAUGUAUUAUAUGAAUAAGGAUCGGCUAACUCCGUGCCAGCAGCCGCGGUAAUACGGAGGAUCCGAGCGUUAUCCGGAUUUAUUGGGUUUAAAGGGAGCGUAGGUGGACUGGUAAGUCAGUUGUGAAAGUUUGCGGCUCAACCGUAAAAUUGCAGUUGAUACUGUCAGUCUUGAGUACAGUAGAGGUGGGCGGAAUUCGUGGUGUAGCGGUGAAAUGCUUAGAUAUCACGAAGAACUCCGAUUGCGAAGGCAGCUCACUGGACUGCAACUGACACUGAUGCUCGAAAGUGUGGGUAUCAAACAGGAUUAGAUACCCUGGUAGUCCACACAGUAAACGAUGAAUACUCGCUGUUUGCGAUAUACAGUAAGCGGCCAAGCGAAAGCAUUAAGUAUUCCACCUGGGGAGUACGCCGGCAACGGUGAAACUCAAAGGAAUUGACGGGGGCCCGCACAAGCGGAGGAACAUGUGGUUUAAUUCGAUGAUACGCGAGGAACCUUACCCGGGCUUAAAUUGCAGUGGAAUGAUGUGGAAACAUGUCAGUGAGCAAUCACCGCUGUGAAGGUGCUGCAUGGUUGUCGUCAGCUCGUGCCGUGAGGUGUCGGCUUAAGUGCCAUAACGAGCGCAACCCUUAUCUUUAGUUACUAACAGGUUAUGCUGAGGACUCUAGAGAGACUGCCGUCGUAAGAUGUGAGGAAGGUGGGGAUGACGUCAAAUCAGCACGGCCCUUACGUCCGGGGCUACACACGUGUUACAAUGGGGGGUACAGAAGGCAGCUAGCGGGUGACCGUAUGCUAAUCCCAAAAGCCUCUCUCAGUUCGGAUCGAAGUCUGCAACCCGACUUCGUGAAGCUGGAUUCGCUAGUAAUCGCGCAUCAGCCACGGCGCGGUGAAUACGUUCCCGGGCCUUGUACACACCGCCCGUCAAGCCAUGGGAGCCGGGGGUACCUGAAGUACGUAACCGCAAGGAUCGUCCUAGGGUAAAACUGGUGACUGGGGCUAAGUCGUAACAAGGUAGCCGUACCGGAAGGUGCGGCUGGAACACCUCCUUUCU
rnacentral:rRNA from 1 species